rnacentral:rRNA from 1 species
GUGUCAGCCGCCGCGGUAAGACGAACCGUGCGAACGUUGUUCGGAUUCACUGGGCUUAAAGGGCGCGUAGGCGGCUUGCCAAGUCAGGGGUGAAAUCCUCCGGCUUAACCGGAGAAGUGCUUUUGAUACUGGCGAGCUUGAGGGAGGUAGGGGCAGGCGGAACUUCCGGUGGAGCGGUGAAAUGCGUAGAUAUCGGAAGGAACGCCGGUGGCGAAAGCGGCCUGCUGGACCUCUUCUGACGCUGAGGCGCGAAAGCCAGGGGAGCGAACGGGAUUAGAAACCCGCGUAGUCC